CGCUGGAGAUCUAGCUUGCUAGAUCGAAGGAGUGGCGAACGGGUGAGUAAUACAUAAGCAACCUACCCACGAAGACUGGGAUAAUCUCUGGAAACGGGGACUAAUACCGGAUAGGUAAUCGGAAGGCAUCUUCUGAUUAUUAAAGGUUAAAAACACUGGUGGAUGGGCUUAUGGCGCAUUAGUUAGUUGGUGAGGUAACGGCCCACCAAGACGAUGAUGCGUAGCCGGCCUGAGAGGGUGAACGGCCACAUUGGGACUGAGACACGGCCCAGACUCCUACGGGAGGCAGCAGUAGGGAAUUUUCGGCAAUGGGGGAAACCCUGACCGAGCAACGCCGCGUGAGUGAUGACGGCCUUCGGGUUGUAAAGCUCUGUUGUAAGGGAAGAACGGUAGAUAGAGAAUAUCUAAGUGACGGUACCUUACCAGAAAGCCACGGCUAACUACGUGCCAGCAGCCGCGGUAAUACGUAGGUGGCGAGCGUUAUCCGGAAUUAUUGGGCGUAAAGGGUGCGUAGGCGGCCUGUUAAGUAAGUGGUUAAAUUGUUGGGCUCAACCCAAUCCAGCCACUUAAACUGGCAGGCUAGAGUAUUGGAGAGGCAAGUGGAAUUCCAUGUGUAGCGGUAAAAUGCGUAGAUAUAUGGAGGAACACCAGUGGCGAAGGCGGCUUGCUAGCCAAAGACUGACGCUCAUGCACGAAAGCGUGGGGAGCAAAUAGGAUUAGAUACCCUAGUAGUCCACGCCGUAAACGAUGAAUACUAAGUAUUGGGG
rnacentral:rRNA from 1 species